rnacentral:ncRNA from 1 species
GCGGAACUAUUUGUCAAAGAAUGGCGCUGCUGGCUGGCUCUUUCGCUCAUGGUCAACUUGUGCGCCGUGCUAUUUCUUUAGGGAAAGGCCGCCCCCAAAAAACAACCGACUAAGAACUGGUACGGACCGGGGGAAUCCGACUGUUUAAUUAAAACAAAGCAUUGUGACGGCCGGAAAGCGGUGUUGACACAAUGUGAUUUCUGCCCAGUGCUCUGAAUGUCAAGGUGAAGAGAUUCUCUUAAGCGCGGGUCAACGGCGGG